AUUUCCUUGUCUUUCAUUCUUCCCUUGCAUUCAUUGCAUUGCUACCUUCUCUGAGACAUAUGUCCCAAAGUGAGUAACACCACAGAAACCUCAGAUUGGACGUUCCUGAGGCAGGUGUCUUUUCCUUAGGGUCUUGUACCAAAAGAGAUCCUUCUGAAAUUCUUCUCUUCUUCUGUAAGCCACUGUUGGAAUCACCAGUGCUACAACAUAACCAUGUGAGGAUCUCCUCCUCCUCCUUCCGAGGGUAUGUGGAAACCCCACCACUCAUACCAACGUCACACACCUCUCUUUUCUACAGAAACAUGGAGCUGUUUAUGGACCACAUGCCACUCUCUUUUAGAAUCCAAAGGUAUAUGUUAAAAUUACCAUAAUUGAAUGUCACAUUAAAGAUGAACUCCAAGGUUUUCUUUGGAAUCUCUUGCUGAACAUAAGUUUCUGCAGACGGUAUUUGCUUUUUCCUGAAAAAAAAUGGAUCCCUCUUUCUCCCCACUUUAGCAAGAGCCUGAUUCAUAGCUCACCCAGCAUAUGGAAAUUUUGUUCACAGUGGCUUCAAUGGUUUUGAGCAAUAUUCCACAUGCACACAUAAGCUUUGAACCCAAAUGUCCUUCCAGACCAUAGUUUAUCCAAUACUGGCUGCUUCCUGAUGUCCCUCUCCAGAAAAAGGGAGGUUUAAAAAGAGUUGUACUUCCUGAAGCAAGUUAGCAGAUCUCCAGAACUGAUCUUUAAAACCUGCAGUCAGAAUGAGUAAUCUCAAAUGGUCUGUCCCACGUUCCCAACUGCAGCCGAUUACUCUCUUCUAUCAGUCUGUACUCAUUAGAUACCAUGCUUUACAUAUCCCUUAUUAAUCAUCAUUCGGUCAAACUAAAGUUUCAAGCUCUUUUAAACUCUUCCCUGGCAUUUCUGCCAGCCUCUUAAAUCAUUUCUGUACUUCUUGUCAUAGAUAGUCUCAAUAUCCUAAUGCUUUUUCAAACAUCGUGGGUGAUGCAUGAAACUCCACAUUCCCCUGUCAAGCCCUCAAAAUAACCACUCUAUACUUAGAAAAGGAAACACCUCUCUGCUUCAGCCACAGGGAAAUACUGAGCUGUUUAUGGGGCACAUACUAUCACUUUCAAAACUCACAAGAAUAUGCAUUUCCUUCUUUUGGAGGCAUUUACAGGCUCUCCUUACCAGGAAGAUACCUUCACAAGACUCAAUGGGAUCUAUUUAUACACAAGAACUCUACUCUCCCAUCAAAUACGCAUCAAAUUGACGAAUAUUUCAAAAAUUAUUAGGAAAGAUGUGGGGAAAGAACAGAACAACUCCUGUUUCACUCUUGGAAAUCAGCUUGAAAUGGAUGCUACAGUGAAUCAAAAAAUACCAGAAUGAUGCAGUCUUAUUUUUAUUCGCUUUCCUACUACUGAAAUUAUAAAGAUUAAGAAGAAUUCAAUUUAAGGCAGCUUUCAAGUUGCUAAGGAUUAUGUGAAAAAUACAAACUAUUUUCAGCUCACUGCAGAGAGUGAAUCAAAUGCAAGAGUCCAACCCUUCAAGAACAGCCCUUCAGAUAAUUAACCUACAGAAGGCGAGUUGGAAUGCCGUCAUGGCUGUCACCAUGGCACUGCCUCUCUGCAGGAGCCAAGACAAAGACCUCCCACAUGCCUGGACAAGUAAUGAAGACAUGGGGCUUAUGAGGGAAAUCUUGUAUGUGUCAUAUAUAUCAGAGGGACACAAAGAACAAGCAAAUCCAUCACACAGUCAGAAUGCAAAUGCAAUGGUAAACAAAAUACCCAACAAAAGAACUUUGGACAAGUCUGAUUAUGCCUAAUUUAGCUACUGAUUCUUUGAGUCUAAACCAGGAUAUCUCUAUCAAAACAUUGAUUAUCCGUUAACUGUUUGAAUUUUCAAAAUAAACUCUAAAAACAUCGUGAAAAGUAAAAUGUUACAAGCAACUGCAUCUGCUUUCCAUCUGUCUGGCCCAGUACAUUUUGCAAGGUGAUGGCUUUGGGAUUUUUUACAGGUUUACUGAGAAGACAGAACUGCACCUCAGUGUGAUACUAUCUACCAAGUGAGGAUUCAAGAUGAAGGAAAGUAGGACACCUUUUACGUUAUGAAUUUCUCUGAGA